GACGAACGCUGGCGGCGUGCUUAACACAUGCAAGUCGAACGGAAAGGCCCUGCUUUUGUGGGGUGCUCGAGUGGCGAACGGGUGAGUAACACGUGAGUAACCUGCCCUUGACUUUGGGAUAACUUCAGGAAACUGGGGCUAAUACCGGAUAGGAGCUCCUGCUGCAUGGUGGGGGUUGGAAAGUUUCGGCGGUCGGGGAUGGACUCGCGGCUUAUCAGCUUGUUGGUGGGGUAGUGGCUUACCAAGGCUUUGACGGGUAGCCGGCCUGAGAGGGUGACCGGCCACAUUGGGACUGAGAGACGGCGCAGACGCCUACGGGAGGCAGCAGUGGGGAGUAUUGCACAAUGGGCGGAAGCCUGAUGCAGCAACGCCGCGUGCGGGAUGACGGCCUUCGGGUUGUAAACCGCUUUCGCCUGUGACGAAGCGUGAGUGACGGUAAUGGGUAAAGAAGCACCGGCUAACUACGUG
rnacentral:rRNA from 1 species